CCUGACACAUACAUACAUAUAUACAGACACACAAACAUACACACAGACAGACACACACAUCCCUCGACAGACACAUACAUACAGACACACACACAUAUAUACACACAGACACAUACAUACAGAGACACAGGCACACACACACAUAGACACACACACAUACAUAGACACACACAUACAGGGCCCCAUGGAUUGUGUUUAUGCCACUGCAUACAUAGACACACACACAUACAGAGACAUACACACACAUACAGAGAGACACAGACACACAUACAGAGAGACACAGACACACAUACAGACAGACACACAUACAGACACAGACAGACACACAUACAGAGACAGACUAACACACAUACAGAGACACACAUACAAACAGAGACAGACACACACACACAGAGACACAGGCACACACAUACAGAGACACACACAUACAGAGACACACACACACACAGAGACACACACACAUACAUAGGCACAGACACAUACAGGCCCCAUGGAUUGUGUGUACGCCACUGCAUACAUAGACACACACACAUACAUAGACACAGACCCAUACAUACGGGGCCCCCUGGAUUGUGUGUACGCUACUGCAUACAUAGACACACACACAUACAGAGACACACACGUACAUGCAGUGACACACACACAUACAGAGAGACACAGACACACACACAUACAGAGACACAGACACUCACACACACAGACACACACACAUACAGAGACACACACACACAGAGACACAGAGGCUCUGCCAUAGAAUUGGCUGCAAAGGCCCUGAAUGUAGGUGCUGCACACUGUUCAAUCACACUGUGCAGCACUGACACAGGAAGCACCUCUAGUGACUGUCUGAGUGACUGUCACUAGAGGUGUCACUAGGAAGCAAUGUAAACACUGCCAUUUCUCAGAAAAGUCAGUGUUUACAUUGAAAAGCCUGCAGGCUAUAGACACCAGAACCACUACAUUAAGCUGUGUGUGUAUGCGCCUGCUAGUGAGUGAGCUUGCUUGCGUGUGUGUGUGCCUGCUAGUGAGUGAGUGAGCUUGUGUUUUUAUGCCAAUGAGCUUAUGAAUAUCAGUGACAUUGUUUGUCCAUGAGGCUGUGUAUCAAUGAGCUUGUGUGUGUCAAUGAGAUUGUCUGUGUCUGCAUGUGAGUAUGCUUACUGUAUAAUUAAACGUUUUACUCUGAAG